GAGUUUGAUCCUGGCUCAGGAUGAACGCUAGCGGCAGGCUUAACACAUGCAAGUCGAACGGUAACAGAAAAAGCUUGCUUUUUGCUGACGAGUGGCGAACGGGUGCGUAACGCGUAUGCAACCUACCUUCUUCUAAGGAAUAGCCCAGAGAAAUUUGGAUUAAUACCUUAUGAUAAUAUUUAUUCGCAUGUUUAAAUAUUUAAAACCCCGGUGGAAGAAGAUGGGCAUGCGUAACAUUAGUUUGUUGGUGAGGUAAUGGCUCACCAAGACUACGAUGUUUAGGGGGUCUGAGAGGAUGAUCCCCCACACUGGUACUGAGACACGGACCAGACUCCUACGGGAGGCAGCAGUGAGGAAUAUUGGUCAAUGGACGAAAGUCUGAACCAGCCAUGCCGCGUGAAGGAUGACGGCCCUACGGGUUGUAAACUUCUUUUGUAUAGGAAGAAACCCCUCUACGUGUAGAGGGUUGACGGUACUAUUCGAAUAAGCACCGGCUAACUCCGUGCCAGCAGCCGCGGUAAUACGGAGGGUGCGAGACGUUAUCCGGAAUUAUUGGGUUUAAAGGGUGCGUAGGCGGAAAUUUAAGUCAUUGGUGAAAGCCUGCAGCUUAACUGUAGAAUUGCCAUUGAUACUGAAUUUCUCGAAUCUAAUAGAAGUAGGCGGAAUAUGACAUGUAUGCGGUGAAAUGCUUAGAUAUGUCAUAGAACACCGAUAGCGAAGGCAGCUUACUAUGUUAGUAUUGACGCUAAUGCACGAAAGCGUGGGGAGCGAACAGGAUUAGAUACCCUGGUAGUCCACGCCGUAAACGAUGAUUACUCGCUAUUGGCGAUACACUGUCAGUGGCUAAGCGAAAGUGAUAAGUGUCCCACCUGGGGAGUACAGUCGCAAGAUUGA
rnacentral:rRNA from 1 species